rnacentral:tRNA from 1 species
AUUUAUUUAAUAUAUAAAAGUAUAUUUAACUUCCAAUUAAAAAGACUAAUAAAAUUAGAAUAAAUA